AGCAGUCGCCGCGGUAAUACGAAGGGGGCUAGCGUUGCUCGGAAUCACUGGGCGUAAAGGGUGCGUAGGCGGGUCUUUAAGUCAGGGGUGAAAUCCUGGAGCUCAACUCCAGAACUGCCUUUGAUACUGAAGAUCUUGAGUUCGGGAGAGGUGAGUGGAACUGCGAGUGUAGAGGUGAAACUCGUAGAUAUUCGCAAGAACACCAGUGGCGAAGGCGGCUCACUGGCCCGAUACUGACGCUGAGGCACGAAAGCGUGGGGAGCAAACAGGAUUAGAUACCCCCGUAGUCCCUGUCUCUUAUAC
rnacentral:rRNA from 1 species